AGGGGAUCUCUGGGAAGCGGUGCUCAUGACAACCAACAUAAACAAGUUUCAGUAGCUAUAUUUAUCCGUUGGUUUCACAAAACGGGGUGCCAAACCCAAGGAAAGCUGUUGCCAUUGCUUUCUGUGGGGACCAGUACUAUGAAAUAAUUGGAUCUAUUUAACAAAGCAUGGACGAAAGCAAAAUGCAGCCUGUUUUUCCAAUGAGCAGAAAACAGUUGGAUGCUUGAAUAGAAUCUCCAGAUUCAUGGCAGCGAGGCAGAAUAAAGGUAUUGACGAGGGAAAGGUAUUACAUGGCCAUCCUCUGGCUGUUUCCCCCUUUCCACAUGCCAGGGGUUUAUACCAAGCAUCUGUAAUUUUCAUGGGUCGGCAGACUUCCAGAGAGUCCACUGCUGAAGAUGCCACCAUAAGUGUACACUUACAAGAAGCCGAGCAUCAUUCGCCCCAAUCAUCGCUCACGUGCCUCGGAAUACCGGCAAAGUGGCCUUUUGAAGGACUCCAAAGUUUCCAGAGAGGUUGUUGCCGACAGCGGAGCGCAUUUAUCAGAUGACAUUUCGGUCUCAAACGAUUCCCCCGACGGCUGUAAUUUGAGUGACAAACAUGAAAGGAUGGUGGCAGUGGUUCCAUCCAGCUUAACAGCAAGCGCCAGUGUGCCUUUUGGAGGUGAUUAACAAUCUCCUACACCCCGAGUGACCUUGACGAGGCCUGAGAAGAAUAGCCUAUCAUCCCAGCAGUAUCAGCCAUGUCUGACAGGAAUUCACCUGCAGAAUACACUCGGUAGAGGGUCUGCCCACCAGGAUAGCAUAAAAAAAGAAGUUGGAGAGAGUCUUGCAAAAAUCACCGACUCAAACUGACUUGGGAAAAUAAUCUCAAGAUGUGCCAGAGAGGAGUGAAGACCUCAGUAUAUCCAGUUUCAGUGGCGCUGUCAGUGACCAGGAGUGGCAGUGACCUGUCAAUCUCCCUGACCGAGUCUGACCUGGCUGAGGUACCACAGAAUGCCGUCUAUGUAGACGGCCAUAGCAGGAGGACAGACAGCCCACCAGAGGAGUGCUACACCCAAGGACAGGGAUCUCCACAGCAUCAGCAUACACAGUCAAGAAUCACUUGACACUCCAGAGCCUAGGAACAGAUCUGAACCAAGUAGAGAAUCCACGUCUUAAGGAAUACCAUUGGAGAGCUCCUGUCUCCCACCUGACGCUGCUCCUCUGUGGGAUCACUGGUUCAAGCACACCCUUCUGCUGAAGGACCACCAUUUCCUCACCACCGAGCGCCUCGUCCAGCUGUUCACUCCACUGCUACUGCCGCACAAUGCCUCCUAUAGCACCAAGGAGAGAAAAGACAACUGAAAACCUACUCUGCAGUACAGUCUAAAGCUUACAAGCAAAAACUCUAACAGGAAGUACCAGUGACGGGUUCAAUACAGAAGUGGUCAGACGGAUGUAAGAGUAGCUGCUGCUUUUGCAACAGCUAAUCAAACACCAAAUACCUGGCAGUGCGGUGCCAGAACAACAACCUCUCCCUCAACGUCAGCAAGACAAAGGAGCUGAUGGUGGACUACAUGAAACGGAGGGCCGAGCAUGCCCCCAUUCACAUCGACGGGGCUGUAGUGGAGCGGGUCGAGAGCUUCAAGUUCCUCGUUGUCUAGAUCACUAAGAAUCUAUCGUGGUCCACACACGAACACAGUCGUAAAGAGGGAUAGAUAACGGCUCUUCCCCCUCAGGAGGCUGAAAAGAUUUGUCCUAAUUUCUACAGCUGCAACAUUGAGAGCAUCUUGACUGACGGCAUCACCUCCUGGGCUCCCAAAAAAAUUCAUUACACUGGUUAACAUAUGUUGGAAGUCACCUUGGAAGUCACUUAAUCAAUGUGGCAUCUCCACAGACUGGCCCUCAACCCGUUCUCCAGUUCUAUAAAUAUCCUGUUUCUCCUAUCUUGUGGGAGGUUGUCUUUCUGAAUCGUACAUGAAAGUUCAUCUGUAUCAUGUCUGUAAAAUAUUGAACAUUUGUAUAGCCAUGUUAUGUUGUAUAUUGUAAAAGCCCAUGGCAUUUAGUACAUCAGUAGGAUUCCAUUAGUCAGCUUUUAGGUGACUUUAUAUGCCUGAACCUUCUGAAGCAGGACUCCACACUCAUUACCAGUAAUGGUUUCAGCCAGCCCUGGCCUCACGCAGAAAGGGAACAUGGCAGAAUAAUUUGGAGUUUGCUAAAAAGGCUGCCUAACAUAAUAUCCAUGUUAAGGAGCAGGUCAACAGAUACGGCAGAUAGCUCUGUGAGAGUGGAGGUAUAUUGUACUAAUAUGUAACAACACAAUAAACAUUUCUAAAGAGAA